AUACGGAGGGAGCUAGCGUUGUUCGGAAUUACUGGGCGUAAAGCGUACGUAGGCGGACUGAUCAGUUGGGGGUGAAAUCCCAGGGCUUAACCCUGGAACUGCCUUCAAUACUGUCAGUCUUGAGUUUGGGAGAGGUGAGUGGAAUUCCUAGUGUAGAGGUGAAAUUCAUAGAUAUUAGGAGGAACACCAGUGGCGAAGGCGGCUCACUGGCCCAUUACUGACGCUGAGAUACGAAAGCGUGGGGAGCAAACAGGAUUAGAAACCCUAGUAGUCC
rnacentral:rRNA from 1 species